rnacentral:tRNA from 1 species
AAGGGGGACCUAAUUCCGGUAGGAGACGAAAAAAAAGUAGUACCAACCGAGAAUCAAUCCCAAAAGGUCGGAGCGAGGCGAAAUUGGCUUUCAAACUAGGUUCUGGGUCCACACAAGACCUGAAUCAGGAACAAGGGCUAUUAGCUCAGGUGGUUAGAGCGCACCCCUGAUAAGGGUGAGGUCCCUGGUUCGAGUCCAGGAUGGCCCACCUGCACAGGUGGCAAAAACAAAGAAGCUCCGAAUCAGCACCUUAUCUUACUUAUAUAGUAAGAGAGAAUGCUGGCUCUGAGUUCAGAGUCCAGAGGAACCUUGAAAACUGCAUAGAGCUAGGCGAAAAAGCCAAAAAAGAAGACCGCAAGGUCAAGCUAAUAAGGGCUAACGGUGGAUACCUAGGCAC